rnacentral:rRNA from 1 species
UACGAAGGGGGCUAGCGUUGCUCGGAUUGACUGGGCGUAAAGGGCGCGUAGGCGGUUCGUACAGUCAGACGUUAAAUUCCUGGGCUCAACCUGGGGGCUGCGUUUGAUACGUGCGGACUUGAGUGCGGAAGAGGGUCGUGGAAUUCCCAGUGUAGAGGUGAAAUUCGUAGAUAUUGGGAAGAACACCGGUGGCGAAGGCGGCGACCUGGUCCGAUACUGACGCUGAGGCGCGAAAGCGUGGGGAGCAAACAGG